rnacentral:rRNA from 1 species
AAAACUUGAAGCGAGUCACCUGGGAAGUACGGUCUCAAGGCUGAAACUUAAAGGAAUUGGCGGGGGAGCACUACAACGGGUGGAGCCUGCGGUUCAAUUGGAUUCAACGCCGGAAAGCUUACCGGGUCAGACAGCAAUAUGAAGGUCAAGCUAAAGACUUUACCUAAUUCGCUGAGAGGAGGUGCAUGGCCGUCGUCAGUUCGUAUCGUGAGACAUCCUGUUAAGUCAGGCAACGAGCAAGACCCGUGCCUACAGUUGCCAGCAUACCCUCCGGGGUGAUGGGCACACUGUGGGGACCGCCGCUGCUAAAGCGGAGGAAGGAGCGGGCUACGGUAGGUCAGUAUGCCCCGAAUCAUCCGGGCUACACGCGGGCUACAAUGGUUGGGACAAUGGGCACCUACACCGAGAGGUGAUGGUAAUCUCCUAAACCCAGCCUUAGUUCGGAUUGAGGGCUGCAACUCGCCCUCAUGAAGCCGGAAUCCGUAGUAAUCGCGUAUCAACAUCACGCGGUAAAUACGUCCCUGCUCCUUGUACACACCGCCCGUGAAUC